UCUUAACCCCUUUACGUGCAAACAUCGCCGACGGCCCCAGUUUAUUAUUGUUUCACUUUCACAGCACGUUAAACAUCACUCUCUUACUUGAUCUGGACAAACUGUGCAUCAAUGGAAAGUUUAAAGACUCUAGCUUCGAUAUUUGACCAAUAUUUUGAUAAAACAUUGUUGCAGUGACAGUUAUUUAGUAAUUUAUGUCAGGAGUGCAAAAUAAUAAAUACUUAUUAUGCGACAUUUUGAAUAGAAAUUCACCACUCAUUCAUAUUCAGUCACGUCUGCAGCGGUUUGUUUGUGUUCACAUAGACUCACUGAACAGCGUCAAUAAGGAUUUAUAGACCAAAGAUGUAUAUCAGCGGAGAUAUAUGGAUAUAUUUACUUAUGUUUACUUAAUAUUUCUUCAGACAGAAUCAUCAUUUCUAUUUAUUUUCCACUGAUUUACGCGAUCUGAUGAUAAACAGCCUCUCCCAGCGAACUCUGUGUGUGUGUGUGCAGAGCUGGGAGCUCGUGUGUGUGUCAGUCAGACUCCGAUUGGUCCUUUUCUUUGUCAAUCUUAGAGUGUCAUAACCGGACACCGCCAUAUCGUGUCACAUGCUUCCUGUACACUUCCUGGUAGUUAUCUGGCCAAAACAACACUGAAACACCUCUGUACACACGAAAUAUCCGAAUAAUAAACACGCGAUUACCAUAGUAAAGCUUGGUAUGAGAUUUUCUGGAGAUCUGGGGCGUUUUUAUAAAAAAAAUUUAAAAUGUACAUCUGAAAUGCUAACUUGUGCAGCGAUGUAAAAGGCUAUAAAUAGCAUAUUUUUACAACAGUAAACGACCAAAUUCCACCCCUGAUCGCUAAAGGAAGUUAUUAUAAACACUCGAUCGGGGUUUAAAGUGAGUUUUGAGUAAAAGUGUACUAAUAAUUUCAUAAAUUGUCUGAUUAAGACUUUUGAUAAAUAAGGGCUAAAUGCAAACAGAGACAGAAGUGAGAUCGCUGCUUUGUGUCUUUGUAAAGCCUGAAAAACCACAAUAAAGGCUAAUAGAGGUGUAAUAAAAGCAAAAGAAUAAUGAUAAAAGAAUAA